rnacentral:rRNA from 1 species
GCUUCUUGCUGACGAGUGGCGCACGGGUGAGUAAUAUAUAGGUAACGUGCCUCUAAGAGGGGGAUAGCCACUGGAAACGGUGAUUAAUACCCCAUAUGCCUCUAAAUCAUAAGAUUGCGAGGGAAAUGUUUUUUCGCUUAGAGAUCGGCCUAUAUCCUAUCAGCUAGUUGGUGGUGUAAGAGACCACCAAGGCUAUGACGGGUAGCGGGUUUGAGAGGAUGAUCCGCCACACUGGUACUGAGACACGGACCAGACUCCUACGGGAGGCAGCAGUGAGGAAUAUUGCACAAUGGGGGAAACCCUGAUGCAGCAACGCCGCGUGGAGGAUGACGCAUUUCGGUGUGUAAACUCCUUUUAUAUGUCAAGAAAAUGACGGUAGCAUAUGAAUAAGCGCCGGCUAACUCCGUGCCAGCAGCCGCGGUAAUACGGAGGGCGCAAGCGUUACUCGGAAUCACUGGGCGUAAAGGACGCGUAGGCGGGUUAUCAAGUCAGGUGUGAAAUCCUACAGCUUAACUGUAGAACUGCACUUGAAACUGGUAACCUAGAGUAUGGGAGGGGCAGAUGGAAUUAGUGGUGUAGGGGUAAAAUCCGUAGAUAUCACUAGGAAUACCUAAAGCGAAGGCGAUCUGCUGGAACAUUACUGACGCUAAGGC